UGGAAGAGCACGGCUGGAGGAAAUACUGUAAAGACCCUAAGAGAAGGGCACUUAAGAGACAAGGUACCGUAAAGACCCGAAAAGGGGGGCAAGAACAAAUUAUCAAGGUAGACCCAGUGAGGUGAGGGUACCAUAAUGACCCCAAUAGGAGGCUCAUGAAGAGGUACCAUUAAGACUGGAACAAGGUGAAAGAGAAAGUGACCUCACAGACUAUUUUUUUUCUUUCAUUUGUUAAAAGCUGGGGAACAAUAAUCCAGCACAGGAGCGCUUGUUUUUUUAUAUAUAUAUAUAAAGACAGAGGCCUGGGUGUGAACCCGUCAGCUGGAACAAUGAUGAGAAGACGAUUCAAUACCCAGUGGAACGGGUGAGGGUGUAGGGGAUGGUGGAGCCCUCACGAACAUAGGACAGUGGAUGAUAAAUGACUGGGACUGCAUGCCCAGGCUAUAUGCACUUGUACAGAGCUGCAUGCUGCUGCAGCUACACUGCUUCCAGUAUCUGAUGCAGCUCUUUGAAUGCCAGCUUGGAUAUUUCUACAACAUGCUGCAAUUCUCAGUGAAGACAUACCUUCAGUAGCUGUUAUUCUUUGCUACCAGCUGUGAUGGAAAACAUUUCAAAUACACAAACUUUUUUUCCUCAUGUAGGUUGUUUGUGUAGGAGGAAGAAAACUUCACCUUUUGAAAAACUGAUUCCACUUGAAUUCUUCAGCUGGAGUAAUACUUUGCAGAACUGGACUAAAAAUACAUCCCAAUUUUAUUCCCAAGUCAAUGCCAAAACUCCCAUUGACUUGAAGGGGAACAAAGCUGAGUCCUUACUGAAAAAAAAAUAUGCAUAACUAUCACCUUUUCACUCUAAUUAGACUCCAGCAGUCGAAUUAGUCGACACUAGUCCAAGUAGUGCAAACAGCAAACUGAAACAUCUUUUAAUGUUAAAUUAUAUCAUGACACACACAAAGAAUUAUUAAUUAUUCCUUUGCAGUUUCGGAGAGUUUAAGGGACACAUUAUUUAAAGGCAAUUUUGCAUCAUAAUACCAACCCACAUCUUGAGGUUGUACAGCAGAAUUAAUCCUGAUUCAUGGCUAAAGUGUCUGGCCACUUCUUGUCAAAGGAUUAUUAAAAAUCAUAGACAGGAUCAUUUUUGUUUAACCCAGAAUGUGAAACCUUAUUAACACCUUUAAAAUAUGGAACCAUUAUUUUUGCCACAUUUCUACUCUUUGCUUUGUUAUAGAGCUUUUUCCUGGGCUCUUCAUAGAUUUCAACCCCAUUCUUGCAUGCACCCUGCAACAGUUUUAACAAAAUAAUACAAACAUCUUUACAUCUUUCCUUCUCCGCAUAGCAUGUGGCUAAAAACUCCUUGUGACUAAUUGCCUUCCUGUGCAACCAGUGACUUGUUCACCUAUUUGGGGUACUUGUGCAGCACAGAUUCUUCUGGAUGAACAUAGUCACAUAAAUACUAUUCCCAAAUUGGUUCAGUUUUAUUUGGAGUUUGGUUAGCAGACUCCAGCUGAGUUACUUCAGAAAAACUGAGAUUUUAGUGUGAAAAAUUCAGAAAGUCCAUAGCUGAAUUUGAGUUCUUUAUCAAGAGACUUAUACUAAACUUACCCAUCUCCUCCUAACCAUGUUUGACAGUAUAUGAAAAGUUAUGCAUGAUAUUCCUUGUGGAAAGGCUUCUGAUAUAUAAUUAUAAUAGCUACUGAGGGAGGAGUUAACAAGCAGGGGGAGGUGGAAGGGUUCUGUCAUAUUCUGUCAGGUAUUGCUGACAAUAAGGCACCUUCUAAUUGCCUUGCUCAUAAGCACAAAUAUACAUUUCUAAGGAAACAAAUACAUUAUUAUUUUGUUUAGCUGCUUAAGCCAUUAGUUAAUGCUGGUCUUUAAUACAUAUCAUUCUCAUUUGAAUGGUGCUCAUUUUCUUUUACUCGUCCCAGUCCAUCAGUAAAACUCACAAUGAACAGCAUCAAAUUCACUUUCUUCUGGACCCUGGCAGUAUAAGGGCUAUUUAUAAUUCAACAUUGGGAUUAGCUUGUGAAUCAUGAAAAAGCUAGA